rnacentral:rRNA from 1 species
AUUGAACGCUGGCGGCAUGCUUUACACAUGCAAGUCGAACGGCAGCGCGGGCUUCGGCCUGGCGGCGAGUGGCGAACUGGUGAGUGAUGCAUCGGAACGUGCCCAGCAGCGGGGGCUAGCCCGGCGACAGCCGGAUUAAUACCCCAUAAGAGCUGAGGGUGUAAGCGGGGGACCGAAAGGUCUUCGGCCCUUGGACGGGCCGAUGUCGGAUUAGCUAGUUGGUGGGGUAAAGGCUUACCAAGGCGACGAUCCGUAGCUGGUCUGAGAGGACGACCAGCCACACUGGGACUGAGACACGGCCCAGACUCCUACGGGAGGCAGCAGUGGGGAAUUUUGGACAAUGGGGGCAACCCUGAUCCAGCCAUGCCGCGUGCGGGAAGAAGGCCUUCGGGUUGUAAACCGCUUUUGUUCGGGAAGAAAUCCUCUGGGCUAAUACCCCGGGGGGAUGACGGUACCGAAAGAAUAAGCACCGGCUAACUACGUG